rnacentral:rRNA from 1 species
GACGAACCGUGCGAACGUUAUUCGGAAUCACUGGGCUUAAAGGGCGCGUAGGCGGGCUCGUUAGUCAGGGGUGAAAUCCCACGGCCCAACCGUGGAAGUGCCUCUGAUACUGCGGGCCUCGAGGGGGGUAGGGGCGUGCGGAACUCAGGGUGGAGCGGUGAAAUGCGUAGAUAUCCUGAGGAACACCGGUGGCGAAAGCGGCGCGCUGGAUCCCUUCUGACGCUGAGGCGCGAAAGCCAGGGGAGCAAACGGG